AUGAAUAAAGCAUUACAUCAUCCAGAUACAAUCAAGGUCCGACUACGGAACCAAAAUAAAAGAAGAACCCCAAAUGCGACAAAGGUCCCUGAUCGACCCCAACUGGGCUCCACUACUGAUCAACUAGAACGAAACAACACAAAGGGCAAGAUCUUCAUCGAGCUCCUCCUUGAGCUUGGUUGCGUCUCCUGCUCGGUAAUAUAGGCACCUGCAAACUGGGUUUUGAAGAAUCUGUGAGCCACGGGGACUCAGCAAUCUCGCACCCGCGAGAUCAAGACUAUUUAAGCUUAUAGGAAGGAUGGAGUAAUGAGGUGGAGCUGCAGCAAGCGACUAGCAUAUAUGGUGGCUAACAUACGCAAAUGAGAGCGAGAAGAGAAGGCAAAGCACGGUCGAUAAAAGUAUGAUCAAGAAGUGAUCCUAUAGCAACCUACGUCAAGCAUAACUCCAACACCGUGUUCACUUCCCGGACUCCGCCGGAAAGAGACCAUCACGGUUACACACACGGUUGAUGUAUUUUAAUUAAGGUCAACUUCGGGUUUUCUACAACCGGACGUUAACAAAUUCCCAUCUGCCCAUAACCGCGGGCACGGCUUUCGAAAGAUAAUACCCUGCAGUGGUGUCCCAACUUAGCCCAUCACAAGCUCUCACGGUCAACGAAGGAAUAGACCUCCACCCGAGACAUUCCGAUCAGACUCGGUAUCCCGGUACAACAAGACAUUUCGACAGGGUAAAACUAAACCAGCAACACCGCCCGAAUGUGCCGACAAAUCCCGACAGGAGCUGCACAUAUCUCUUUCUCAGGGCACACUCAGAUUGUCUUAGGUACGGGUAGGCCAACCCAGAGUUGCCCCUGGUGGUCACCGGUAGCUGACAGUUGGACCAACACUCAGAGGAGCACUGGCCCGGGGGGGUUAAAAUAAUGAUGACCCUUGAGUCCGCGAAACCCAAGGGAAAAAGAGGCUAGGUGGCGAAUGGUAAAACCAAUGUUGGGCAUUGCUGGAAGAGCUUUACUUAAGGCGAACUGUCAAGGGGUUCCCAUUAUAGCCCAACCGCGUAAGGAACGCAAAAUCCGGGAACAUAACACCGAUAUGACGGAAACUAGGGCGGCAAGAGUGGAACAAAACACCAGGCAUAAGGCCGAGCCUUCCACCCUUUACCGAGUAUAUAGAUGCAUUAAUUAAGUAAGAUAUAUUGUGAUAUCCCAACAAGUAAACAUGUUCCAACAAGGAACAACAUCUCCAUGUUCCAACAAGGAACAAACUUCAAGCUUCACCUGCAACUAACAACACUAUAAGAGGGGCUGAGCAAAGCGGUAACAUAGCCAAUCAACGGUUUGCUAGGACAUGGUGGGUUAGAGGUUUGACAUGGCAAUUUGGGAGGCUGACAAGCAAAUGGUAGGCAUCGUAGCAUUGGCAUGGCAAAAGAGCGAGCAAACUAGCAUAGCAAAGAUAGUAGUGAUUUCAAGGGUAUGAUCAUCUUGCCUGAAAUCCCGCAAGGAAGAAGAAUGAGUCCAUGAAGAAGACAAACGGACGUAGUUGAACGGAUCCUCACAAACGCGACGUUAUCGGAACCAACCCGAAGAAACAAUCACCGGAAAAGAAGCACACAACAUAGUAAAUAACCAACACAUCAACAUGGCAUGAUGCACAAACGAGUAUGAUGCAUGUCCGGUUUAAUGAAGCAUGGCAUGGCAAAGUGCACA
rnacentral:lncRNA from 1 species